AAGAGAUUAGUUAAAAUAAUAACAUUAAUUUGUCAAAUUAAAAUUAUUUAUUAUAAUAUCACUUA
rnacentral:tRNA from 1 species